GAUGAACGCUGGCGGCGUGCCUAAUACAUGCAAGUCGAGCGAACAGACGAGGAGCUUGCUCCUCUGACGUUAGCGGCGGACGGGUGAGUAACACGUGGAUAACCUACCUAUAAGACUGGGAUAACUUCGGGCAACCGGAGCUAAUACCGGAUAAUAUAUUGAACCGCAUGGUUCAAUAGUGAAAGACGGUUUUGCUGUCACUUAUAGAUGGAUCCGCGCCGCAUUAGCUAGUUGGUAAGGUAACGGCUUACCAAGGCAACGAUGCGGAGCCGACCUGAGAGGGUGAUCGGCCACACUGGAACUGAGACACGGUCCAGACUCCUACGGGAGGCAGCAGUAGGGAAUCUUCCGCAAUGGGCGAAAGCUUGACGGAGCAACGCCGCGUGAGUGAUGAAGGUCUUCGGAUCGUAAAACUCUGUUAUUAGGGAAGAACAAAUGUGUAAGUAACUAUGCACGUCUUGACGGUACCUAAUCAGAAAGCCACGGCUAACUACGUG
rnacentral:rRNA from 1 species